rnacentral:rRNA from 1 species
CCUACGGGAGGCAGCAGUGAGGAAUAUUGGUCAAUGGACGAGAGUCUGAACCAGCCAAGUAGCGUGAAGGAUGACUGCCCUAUGGGUUGUAAACUUCUUUUAUAUGGGAAUAAAAUGUUCCACGUGUGGGAUUUUGUAUGUACCAUAUGAAUAAGGAUCGGCUAACUCCGUCCCAGCAGCCGCGGUAAUACGGAGGAUCCGAGCGUUAUCCGGAUUUAUUGGGUUUAAAGGGAGCGUAGGUGGAUUGUUAAGUAAGUUGGGAAAGUUUGCGGCUCAACCGUAAAAUUGCAGUUGAAACUGGCAGUCUUGAGUACAGUAGAGGUGGGCGGAAUGCGUGGUGUAGCGGUGAAAUGCUUAGAUAUCACGAAGAACACCGAUUGCGAAGGCAGCUCACUGGACUGCAACUGACACUGAGGCUCGAAAGUGUGGGUAUCAAACAGGAUUAGAUACCCCUGUAGUC